UUCAAAAGUUUCCAUGAAUCCUUAGAAAUAGAAGAUUUCAGAGCACUACAAAAUCAUCUUGAAAACGAUCAUCCCCCACCUUCAAUUAUUGCCACUUACCGUGGUUGUACUGAUAGAGAGAAGACAUUAUUACGAAAUGAUUUAUUUCAAGGAUAUCUCUUUUCUUGGAGUGCAAUAUUUGGUUAUUCUUGAUAACGAGAAGCAAUCUGCGAAGAAGGGGACAACUUUGAUGACUCAUGCUCCUCUUAUUAGUCGAUAUGUGAAGAAAUGACUGAGAUUGAUGAAUCCACUCUACAUGGAGCAGUGCUCUCAAGAGUUUCCAUUGAGCAAGACUUUCAAGGUGUGGUCUCUACAAGAAAUUCAUCAUUGUCGUUCUAAUGAACCAAGUCCUCUACCUAGACUAGGAUAGCUCCUUAUUGAAGGGAAAGCUAAUGGGGAGACACUAUUUAAUUUGCCUGCUAGUUUGCUACAUCAAAGAAUUUUGGGAGUAGACUGACGACACCCUUAAUUGGUGCGAGCACAAGCUAGUUAAGGCUCAAGUUUCUAAUGUCAUCAAGGCGUUCUGAUAAGUGUGGGCCCAUCAUGGUGGUGCAUCCAAAGUCUACUCAUAAUCCCUGUGGAACUUUUGGAGUACGUGGCCAUUGGUCCAUUGUGGAUGAAGCAUUGUUGUCGAAGCUUGGCACUGAAGGAAGUUUUAAAAAAAAAAACAUUCUUAGCAGGGUACUUGGUAUGUUGGCUCUGCACAUUUGCUCUUCCCAUUGAUGAUGUUGGCUCAAUACAUCCAAGUACUUUCAAAGUGAAAGUGCCAUGGCAGCUGAUCAUUGGUCUUGUUGUUCCUCUCUUGGCAAGUAUUUACAAAAGUUUGAAUAAGAUUUCUAUUCUCCAUUUUUUAUUCAUUUCAUAUGUAGUUGGAUAAUACAAUAUUUCAAGACUCAUUACCAAGUUUUGCAAGGUGCACAUAGGCCCACAAUGAUGCUCUUCUUAGUUAAAGGGAAUGCAAAAUACUACGAUCCACAAGAACUGAGAAAAAGACUUUAUGAAGGUGAUUUUUUCUGUUGGACUUGUAAUAUGAUUACGAAGGACAAGGACUGCUUGUUCGUAGAUGAUAGACAUGCCAAAGAAUUUGAGGAAGCAUAUUUCAUGGCCAUCCGCUCAAAUUACCUUCAUUACGGCAAGACAAUCCGUUUUCUGUUGAGUCUUACAACCCUCAUUGAUUCAGUUAACAAUUUGGAUUCUUUCAAGAAGUGCUAGAAAUUUAUAAGACAUUCGGGAGGCAACUUAGGAAGGUGGAAUUCGUUAUUGGCGUUUAUGCAUCUCAUCCAAGAGUAUGGAAAAAGUGUGGUUUCCUUGUAUGUCCCCAAAUUCAAAGAAAUUCUCUUCAGAGGCGUACGAAAAAUGGUGGGCCGAGACUCAUGGCUACUUUGAAGAAACUGUGGCAAGGUUGCUUGCUUCAAAUUCGAGUAAGGUUCCUCCUAAAAAGACAUAAUGUGAUAAAGGAAUUAUUCAAGAUGUGCCCUGUGAGUAUGUUGCAUCUCUUCCUUCCAGUGUAAUCUUCAAGUUGUUGAGCCUCUUGAACCAAGUACGUGAAAAAGUUCUUCUUGUUCUAUGGAAGAAAGUGGGAGUAGCAACCAUGUUAUUCAUGGGCAGAGACCGAAAAGGGAUUUCUACCAUUCAAAGCCGACAAACAUUGUGCUGAUGAUGAUGCUUUAGGCCGUGCGCUAUCCAUGUUGAAUUUCAAAGAGGUCGUUUGUCAAGUUAGAAGAUGAAGUCCUAGAUGUUGAAGAUGACGAGAUUUGCAAAGAUAGACAAGGAUCAAUUUUGGGGCCUAAUUCGUUAGCUACAACUCUUGCACUUGGAAUGGGACUUAAAGAAAAGCAAUCUCUUAGCCAUACUGCAGUAUUGGUAUUUGAAGACAAGAGAUUCGUCCUUUAAUCAUCAAAAGAAAUUUCUUCAAAAGAUGUGGAGUGAUCUUCUUGUGAAAAUAUCAAGCACUCCAAUUGACUUCAUCUCAUGAAUCGAAGAUGAUGUUUGAUUCUUGAAUCCAAUAGCUUUCAAAAGUUUGACACUUCAAAAGUAGAAAAAUAAUUGAACGUGUUCUUUGCUAGCUUAUGAUAAAGUAAGAUCAAUCCGAUCCACUAUGGACUAGUUGGAGCGCAUUAAGAAGGAGAUUAUUGAUUUGGAAGGAAUAAUGAAACAAACUUGUGUGCCACUUUGAAGCGGCAAAGACAAUUUCUUCAUAACGCUCAUGAGAUUGAGGAGAAAAUUGCAGCACUUGAGAAUACCACCCGACUAGAUGAUGAACUAGUUGAGAAUUUGAAAUCUUCAAGGUCAAAUUUGGAAGUCUUUAAAAAACAGUUUAAGAGCUGGAGUCUUUUGGUUUGGACUUAUUUAGACUUUUUUCCUUGUUGAGUUUC